rnacentral:rRNA from 1 species
GACGAACGCUGGCGGCGUGCUUAACACAUGCAAGUCGAACGGAAAGGCCCUGCUUUUGUUGGGUGCUCGAGUGGCGAACGGGUGAGUAACACGUUAGUAACUUUCCCUUGACUUUGGGAUAACUUCAGGAAACUGGGGCUAAUACCGGAUAGGAGCUCCUGCUGCAUGGUUGGGGUUGGAAAGUUUCGGCGGUUGGGGAUGGACUCGCGGCUUAUCAGCUUGUUGGUGGGGUAGUGGCUUACCAAGGCUUUGACGGGUAGCCGGCCUGAGAGGGUGACCGGCCACAUUGGGACUGAGAUACGGACCAGACUCCUACGGGAGGCAGCAGUGGGGAAUAUUGCACAAUGGGCGGAAGCCUGAUGCAGCAACGCCGCGUGCGGGAUGACGGCCUUCGGGUUGUAAACCGCUUUCGCCUGUGACGAAGAGUGAGUGACGGUAAUGGGUAAAGAAGCACCGGCUAACUACGUG